GUUAUUACUCAUUAUACUAAUUACACUAAUUAAAAGAUAUGUAUGUUCUGCUGUUGGCAGUUUGACGUGUCAACACAGAUAUCUGCUACUUUUAACGUUUGCAUAAUUUUUACUCUCUUUAUUAUUGGCUCUCAGAAAUUUUCCAGACACUCGAAAUACACACAGGUGACAUCUACUAAUUAAUCAGCAUUAAUGAACUCGUUUAUCGAGCAGUUCUCUUAAAAAUUAACACGCGGAUCAAGCACAAAGACGUUACCGAACGACACGCAAUCUCUGCUGAUAAUGAAUGCGUUGCCAUCCGUUAUUAGAUGCGUUUAGUAUAAAGACGCAUAAGUUUACCUCUGUGUAAUUAAGUCGUAAAGCUAUAGUGGAAGGUGUUUGCCUCGCGGCAUCAACUGGUUACGAAACUACGCAGGUGCUACCUCGUGAUGUUUGCCUUUUAUGAAAGACGCUGUGGAACGCUCGAAGAUAAGAUAACGGCGGCUGCGAAGAAUUUCCGGUUCGUCUCCUCUGUGGAUUUCACCGCGAAAGGGACCAAGAUCUCUGAACCGACAGGAUAUUGAAGAGACGAAACGGUAUUCGCGCGAUUAGUCCCGCCAAGUUUCGCGAACCGCUGAAUUCCAAUGGUUGACACUUAAAUUCGCGAGCAGCGGCGUAACACAAAAUUCUUUUCGUCUUGUUCAUCUUUUUCUAUAUACAAUAAGUACGAUGUGAUUCGGAAUUCUGUCUGACAUUCUACGAAUCGCGAAAAGCGAAUUGAAAAUCACGAUUGUUUCAACAGCAGAGUUAUUUGUUACACGCGUGAAAAAUUUCACGCCGCUGAACGUUCGCUCGUUUCGCGAGCACCGUGUAUACUUGGAGGGAGCAUUAAAUCGAAUCGGACUUAAAUCGUGCGUGGAAGUCGGAAAGCUCGAAAGCACAAGCCACGGAUGCGGGGAUCGUUCGAGUACACCUGGAGCUAAAGGAAACUUAUGACCGCGAUCGAAGUCGUAUAUCGAGGUAUAGGAAGUAUCACGGAUAAGUGUCCCCGCUUGGAAGAAAAUCCGUUAAGCAGCGGGGAAGAUAUCGGCUGCUUCCUGAAGGAACUACAUUUUCCACGGCGAAAGUUGGCGAGACAAAGAUUGCGUUCUUUACAAUCUUCCUAAGCUCGAAAGACGCGCUUCUAUACUCUUUAGAGAUUGUUUUCUAUGAGGAGAUAAUAACGCGCCUAUACAUAU